UAGGGAAUCUUCGGCAAUGGACGAAAGUCUGACCGAGCAACGCCGCGUGCGUGAAGAAGGUUUUCGGAUCGUAAAACUCUGUUGUUAGAGAAGAACAAGGACGUUAGUAACUGCACGUCCCCUGACGGUAUCUAACCAGAAAGCCACGGCUAACUACGUGCCAGCAGCCGCGGUAAUACGUAGGUGGCAAGCGUUGUCCGGAUUUAUUGGGCGUAAAGCGAGCGCAGGCGGUUUCUUAAGUCUGAUGUGAAAGCCCCCGGCUCAACCGGGGAGGGUGAUUGGAAACUGGGAGACUUGAGUGCAGAAGAGGAGAGUGGAAUUCCAUGUGUAGCGGUGAAAUGCGUAGAUAUAUGGAGGAACACCAGUGGCGAAGGCGGCUCUCUGGUCUGUAACUGACGCUGAGGCUAGAAAGCGUGGGGAGCAAACAGG
rnacentral:rRNA from 1 species